CAGUCCUUUUCUACUUGAAAAACAGACUGAAAGGUUUUAUUGCAUUACAUGGAGAUCCCACAAACAAUUUUAAUGAAGCAAAAUAACUGAGCUACCAGAGAGCAAUGAGAAGCAAGUGUGGCAAGACAGAAGCUGAUGGUACUACUUCUACAAAUCUGAGGACUUCCACACAAUUUUCAGAAGGAGAUAUGUAUAUUCAACAAGGAAAACACCUUUAUUCUCCUUUCCUUUCUUCCCUGGAAAAGAGAGAAACAUUUGAAGAUGAAGAACAGCAGCACCAUCAUCAUCACCAACUGCUUUUGCAGCCCAGGACAACAGAACUCCACGCCGAGAAUCUGCUGCCCUGAACAUCAGGACCUUAUACCAGAGAGCUGCUGCUCAGAACUCAGGACUUUAUGCCAAAAGCUUUUAGCAAAGACUUUAAGUCUCUGUACUCUUUGCCUCUGAGACUGAUGCUUUUAUACAAUAAAUACCUUUCUAGCGAC